UUGACCUCAAAUCAGGUAGGACUACCCGCUGAACUUAAGCAUAUCAAUAAGCGGAGGAAAAGAAACUAACAAGGAUUCCCCUAGUAACUGCGAGUGAAGCGGGAUGAGCUCAAAUUUCGAAUCUGGCGGUCUUUGGCCGUCCGAGUUGUAAUCUAGAGAAGCGUCGUCCGCGCUGGACCGUGUAUAAGUCUCCUGGAAGGGAGCGUCGUAGAGGGUGAGAAUCCCGUCUUUGACACGGACUCCCAGUGCUAUGUGAUGCGCUCUCGACGAGUCGAGUUGUUUGGGAAUGCAGCUCAAAACGGGUGGUAAAUUCCAUCUAAAGCUAAAUACAGGCGAGAGACCGAUAGCGAACAAGUACCGUGAGGGAAAG
rnacentral:rRNA from 1 species